UGUUUCUAUCUUUUUUAGGUUCACAGUUCGCUAAAAAAACAGGUGUGAGAAUUAUCCAGUAGCUUUGUUUAACUGUAACAGACAGGAGCGGAUCUGGAACCUUCACCGGUUCUGUUUUUUGUUUUUUGUUUUAAUGGCAAUCAUAGAAAGGAAGGAAACGAAGGGAAAGUUUUCGGUGAGGAAGGAAAUGGAGGGAAAUAACAAGGAGAUUUUUUAUUUCUGCUUUUGAUUGCUGUUUAUACAACAACAACAAGGAGAAGAGAGGGAGGAGGAGGAGGAAUGAUUUUGCGAAAAGAGAAGAACACGAGGGAUGAAGAGAGGUGGGUGGAGGAGGAGGAGGAGGAAUCUGGGGGCGGGUGGUGUAAUGGGACUGCGUAAAGCUCCACCCAAAAUCAAGAUCAUGC